rnacentral:lncRNA from 1 species
GGGGGAGUGUCCACGUAGGGAAGGAGGCUGGAGAUGGAGGGGGCAGCCAGGCGACAUCACAAUAGGAACCAAUUCUAUCCAGGCAGGCCUGGGAGCAGGAUGGGAGCCCUGUAACAGGUGAUCUUUUCUGGCCACAGACCAGCCAGAAUCCCAGCCUAGGAAGAACUAAGACCCUACAAGAUUCUUAAGAGAUUGGGAGAAUCUAAUUAAAUUUCCGGCCACUCGCCCUGGUUAAUUCAGCCUGCCUAAUUGUUAAAUUUCUACAAAGCUCCCCUCUGCUUCGUUGCCAUGCUGCAGAUAGGUGUCAGUGCCUGUGGGACCUGAGCAUCCGAAGGUUCAAGAGAAAGAAGAGGUUAGCUUUGAAACACUGCCUGGAAAUGACAGCACCACUCGUUCCCCAGCUGCCAGAGAGAGGAUCCCCAUUGUGACCUGAGCAUCAUGGCGGAGUGAGGGGUUCCUUUGUCUCUCUCCAAUAAGUUACAGCCAAAGCACACCAUUAACCAACAGAAGAUUCCCUACACAGCACAACAGGAUACCUGAGAGGUCCAGGCAGCUGCACAUCUGAAGAGUGACUGUAGCUGGAAAGGAAAUUUGCGAGUGAAGAUAUGAACCUCGGAAUGAAUCCCAAGCUUGAGAAGAGAGAAUACGCCUGUUCCUCACACUGGCAUCAGACGCAGGUCAAAAAUGAGCCUGAGUAGCUCCUGUUUGGUGAGAUAAAAUCCUGUCUUGGAAGGCAGGGAGAAGGGGACAAGCAGACCAUGGUGACAACAGGAACAGGCGCUGGCAGCUUCGGCCACUGCAGCCAGACACCCGUUUUCACCCCCGGGUCUCCUCCAGCAGUUGUCUCCUCAGUGCCUGUCCUCUGCGCGUAUUUCAGGCAGCAAAGAUGUUGCCCAGUUCGUCUUGGCAGCAGCGCUACAAGUUUGUCAGUCCAGCACCAUGAUCCUGUUUCACAAAUGGAGAAACUGAGAGUCAAUGCAAUUACAGGUUUCCCCCGUUACCUGAAAGUUUGCUUUACACUGCUUUGUUUUACGAAAAACCCACGUUGGUAUCUGCUUUCACAAAGAAAUUGAAGAGGGGUUUUGCUUUUACAAAAAAAGGUGAAAAGUGGAAACAGCCUUCAGCCUUUGUUUUGCAGCGAGUUGCUAUAGAGGCUAAGCAGUCAAGCGUGCUGUCAUAUUUCAAGCACGUCAGCCACUUCAGCCACAGCGCACGAUGAACCUCGACCUUUGACAUCCAGGCAGAUGCAACAAAAGGUGUAGACGUCAGUGACCUGCCUGCCCGAUGGAUUCAGAUGACGAUGAGACGUUAACAGAGGAUCCUAGUCCUCUCUCUCCUACAACCCCGUCUCCCGGUGCCUCCCACCCCCCAACCUCUGAUGACUCAGCCUAACCCACUGUCAUCACCGCCACCACCGUCCCGUGAGCUCUGCCUCCACGAUUCUGGUCUCCUGGGGAUGCUCUGGUCUCGGACAGCAGGGGAAGCCUGUAGGCGGCUUGGCUGCAGUCAUGCGAUAGGUAUUUAAAUGUGCUCGAAUGUGGGUGUCUGAUGAGAAGCUUCAGUCUAGCCAGCUGUUGUCGAGCCUGGUCAGCCCCAUUCCUCCAUAAAUGGGAGGAGGUCAUCUAGAAGAAGGUGCAAGGAAGCCCAGAUCCAGUCUCCACCAUGCUCUGUGCCCGAGGAUGCUGACUGCAGGAAAUCUAUCAGGG